AAUCACUGGGCUUAAAGAGCACGUAGGCGGAAUACCAAGCGUCUUGUGAAAUCCCUCGGCUCAACCGAGGAAUUGCAGGGCGAACUGGUAUUCUUGAGGCAGGUAAGGGUGAGUGGAACUCUUGGUGGAGCGGUGGAAUGCGUAGAUAUCAAGAGGAACGCCGGAGGUGAAGACGACUCACUGGGCCUGUCCUGACGCUGAGGUGCGAAAGCCAGGGGAGCGAACGGGAUUAGAUACCCCGGUAGUCCUGGCCAUAAACGAUGUCCACUAGGUCGAUGACAUUCUGACAUGGUGUCGGCCGAAAGAAAACCGUUAAGUGGACCGCCUGGGGAGUACGGUCGCAAGGCUAGAACUCAAAGGAAUUGACGGGGGCUCACACAAGCGGUGGAGCAUGUUGCUUAAUUCGAUGCAACGCGAAGAACCUUAUCCUGGGCUUGACAUGCUUGGAUGCCCCCCUGGAAACAGGGAUCGGCUGCCCUUCGGGGUGAAACUUGCACAGGUGCUGCAUGGCUGUCGUCAGCUCGUGUCGUGAGAUGUUGGGUUAAGUCCCGUAACGAGCGAAACCCUUGUCGUUAGUUGCCAGCGGGUCAUGCCGGGGACUCUAACGAGACUGCCGGUGUCAAACCGGAGGAAGGUGGGGAUGACGUCAAGUCCUCAUGGCCUUUAUGCCCAGGGCCGCAAACGUGCUACAAUGGCUGGUACAAACCGACGCGAGACCGCGAGGUGGAGCAAAUCGGAAAAAGCCAGCCCCAGUUCGGAUUGCAGUCUGCAACUCGACUGCAUGAAGUCGGAAUCGCU
rnacentral:rRNA from 1 species